rnacentral:rRNA from 1 species
GAUGAACGCUGGCGGCGUGCCUAAUACAUGCAAGUCGAGCGAACGGACGAGAAGCUUGCUUCUCUGAUGUUAGCGGCGGACGGGUGAGUAACACGUGGAUAACCUACCUAUAAGACUGGGAUAACUUCGGGAAACCGGAGCUAAUACCGGAUAAUAUUUUGAACCGCAUGGGGCAAAAGUGAAAGACGGUCUUGCUGUCACUUAUAGAUGGAUCCGCGCUGCAUUAGCGAGUUGGUAAGGUAACGGCUUACCAAGGCAACGAUGCAUAGCCGACCUGAGAGGGUGAUCGGCCACACUGGAACUGAGACACGGUCCAGACUCCUACGGGAGGCAGCAGUAGGGAAUCUUCCGCAAUGGGCGAAAGCCUGACGGAGCAACGCCGCGUGAGUGAUGAAGGCCUUCGGAUCGUAAAACUCUGUUAUUAGGGAAGAACAUAUGUGUAAUUAACUGUGCACAUCUUGACGGUACCUAAUCAGAAAGCCACGGCUAACUACGUG